rnacentral:rRNA from 1 species
UGAGGAAUAUUGCGCAAUGGACGAAAGUCUGACGCAGCCAUGCCGCGUGCAGGAUGACGGCCCUAUGGGUUGUAAACUGCUUUUGUAUGGGAAUAAACCCUUCUACGUGUAGAAGGCUGAAGGUACCAUAAGAAUAAGCACCGGCUAACUCCGUG